AUUGAACGCUGGCGGCAGGCCUAACACAUGCAAGUCGAGCGGAUGAAGAGAGCUUGCUCUCUGAUUUAGCGGCGGACGGGUGAGUAAUGCCUAGGAAUCUGCCUGGUAGUGGGGGAUAACGUUCCGAAAGGAACGCUAAUACCGCAUACGUCCUACGGGAGAAAGCAGGGGACCUUCGGGCCUUGCGCUAUCAGAUGAGCCUAGGUCGGAUUGGCUAGUUGGUGAGGUAAUGGCUCACCAAGGCGACGAUCCGUAACUGGUCUGAGAGGAUGAUCAGUCACACUGGAACUGAGACACGGUCCAGACUCCUACGGGAGGCGGCAGUGGGGUAUAUUGGACAAUGGGCGAAAGCCUGAUCGAGCCAUGCCGCGUGUGUGAAGAAGGUCUUCGGAUUGUAAAGCACUUUAAGUUGGGAGGAAGGGCAGUAAGUUAAUACCUUGCUGUUUUGACGUUACCGACAGAAUAAGCACCGGCUAACUUCGUGCCAGCCGCCGCCGUAAAAC
rnacentral:rRNA from 1 species